rnacentral:rRNA from 1 species
UACGAAGGGGGCUAGCGUUGCUCGGAAUCACUGGGCGUAAAGCGCACGUAGGCGGAUUGUUAAGUCAGGGGUGAAAUCCUGGAGCUCAACUCCAGAACUGCCUUUGAUACUGGCGAUCUCGAGUUCGGGAGAGGUGAGUGGAACUGCGAGUGUAGAGGUGAAAUUCGUAGAUAUUCGCAAAGAACACCAGUGGCGAAGGCGGCUCACUGGCCCGAUACUGACGCUGAGGUGCGAAAGCGUGGGGAGCAAACAGG